ensembl:lncRNA
ACGCUGCUCGCAUCACAUCGGGUCACACCGACUCAAGGAACCGGGUGGAAGGCUUCUCUCUGUGAAGCACAUCAGCGGUGCCUCUCCUCCUCCUCCUUCUCCUCCUCUUCCUCCUCCUGCUCCUCCGUAGCAGCAGCCAUGCCGGUGUGACUACUUCAAGUUUUUCCUCUACUACUGAGCAGAUUCCCCCCCCCCAACUCUCCCCUCCCGCGGUGUUCAGCCGUCCUCCUGAAGACCCGUUAGUCGAGCUGGUCGCGUUAGGCGCAUCAUGGAAGUUAGUUCACCGUGAGACUCAACACUGGUGGCGCUGGCGAAGGCUUUUAUAAGGUUGCUGUUUGAAGCUCGCGCGUUUUGGGCUCGCGGGCGAUUCGGUAGGAAAACCAAGUCAAAGGAGGCUGAAAGUGGGCAGAAUUUUCUCCAGGACCGAGUGGCAGAAGUAUCGACAGACGACAGCCGUUAUCCGCUCCUCUAUACAGGUGGAGAGAGAGACAGAGAGCGAGAGAAUUGGACCGGGCAUUCGAACCUGAACGGUAUUAGCUGAUUAGAAAUUUCCUUUCCGGACUGUUCGGCAUCUGCUGAGGUUGUUUGAGGCAACAAACCGUCUCCUACUUGGAACUGAAACCUCUCAUCGUGCCUGAAAAUACUUUUUUUCGGACGCCGGCUCGAGCACUUUUGCCCCUCUGCUUGCGCCCCGUGCUGCUGUUUGGCGCUCUGCCUCGCGGGAGACGACUCGAGCCCCUACGCCGCGUGCGGACCACUGCCCCGGAGCGGAACGCGUGUACGACCCGAGAGCGCAACAUGUCUGGAGCGCGUGGGGCAGAUGCCGUCCACCUCACCUGCUUCUUCCGGACACCAAGCGGGGACCAUGCCGGCGGACAGAUGUGGCGCCUCACGUGGAUUGUAUUUGUUUCCCUGUUUAUUUACGGCACAUCAGCACAAGGUAAGAACUCCUCAUUUUGUAUGCAUGGCGUCAGUGCAAUGGGAUAAGUCCUCCCUGGAUAAUUACUUUAUGUAGGAUG